AGCACGCUUGUGUGAGCGCGGAGGGGAAGGGCAGGGAAUGUGGACAGAGAGGGAGGAGCGGUGUAAUAACUCUUUAGUCAUAAGACUUGCCAGUUGGUAGUUGCUAGUCUUCCAGACACUUCCUAAUGCCAGACAAAUGCCCCAAGCCUCGGCAUGUCUGGCUUGGAGAUCUAUUCAUCUGAUAGCAGCCCGGCUCUUGCGGGAGAACAGAGGUCUGGGGCCCGCAGCGCUCGGCUUGCUAAUCAAACACAACAUUGUUCUCAGAAGGAAGAAUGGAAAGGUUUGUUUCAAAGUCCCAACUUUUUUUUUUUUUUUUCUAAGAGGCACCCAAGUUGUUUUAACAAGUUGCUACAAAACUUGGGCUUCCUGAGGUGAGCCUGUUGCGCACAGAGCUUGUACUGUACCAAAAUCCAGGGAGGGAGGGAUCAGAGUUAGUCAUUAAAAAAGAAAAAAAAAAAAAAGCCCCAGGCACUUCAUGCCUGGAAAUGAUGUAACAGGCAGCCACUCCUCUGUUAGAACUACAACCAAACAAUGCUCGGGCAAUCCGCGGCAGCUGCUCUCCAAAUGUCAGCGCCAGCCCGGUCCAAAGAGCUUGAAAGGCACCAAGCUGGAGGACUUUGUGCUGUACCUUUCUCGCCCACAUUUUCCCCAAGCACUCCCAGGAACCUGGCAACAGGCUGAAUGCCACCCGCACAAAAGAACUCCUGUUGACAUCUCAUUUACAAUCUCCCCCAGGACACAGACAAGACUAUUUCAAUAAACCCGGCUCAGAGACACCUAUUGUUCGGAAUCUUCAACUAGCAACAGGCUUCCACCACAACCUAUUGUUUUGUAAAAUAAAGGAUUUUGAAGGAGAAGGAUUGAGACUGUGGACGCCGUGAAAAGAGGAAGGAAAAAAGUCCCUUUGACCUGAUGCUGUCACAGAGCGUGCAAGAAGAAUGAAGUUAAUGGAUUUCCAUUUUCAUAAGAAGUGCAUAAGAAACGCCUGUUAAGUUUCUGAACUGGUGAUGGAGAAUUCCAAAUUUGCUGCCAGCUUGGUGCAUCGAGAAGCAAACUCCUGCCCACGGGUUUGCUAAAUGCAAAGCCCCGGGCUAUACUUACCCUAUUCUCAGCCUUGCCAAAGUCCUGAUAGCCCCAAUAGCAGAGCACCAGGACCUCAAUGCUGUUGACUUUUCCAAGCAGCCAUGACUUUGGGGGAUGGUCAGCCCCUUCCUAGAUUUGGAGGCUGAGUCUUGUUUGAUGGGAAGAUUGAUGGGAAUGCUUCUGGGAAGGAUCACCCCCAUAUCCCUUUUCUGCCUCUGGAUACUGUCAUCACCAAGAGAUAACCUGAACUGUGGCUGCUGAACUGGGGACCACAAAGAGCAUCUGCCUGAGAAGACAACCCACAGUGAAGAUGACAGGUGGAAACAUGGCAGGAAGCUGGUUUGGAUAUCUUCAGUGGCCGCCUUCCCUCUAGAUUUGCUGUUACUGAGAAAAUGAAU